CACGGCGUCAAGGGCUGCGGGCGAACAGGUUUCGCCACACGCCACACCCUUCGCCAUAGUACCAAUAAUGUAUGGCGUCAAGGGUUGGGGGCGAAUAUAAGUUGCUUCCAAGCUGGGGGGCUACGAGGCCACCCUAGCCUCUGGAGCCUUUCGCCACACCCACACCCUUCGCCACAGUACCCGCGCGGUACGGCGACAAGGGCUGGGGGCGAAAGUGGGUUAAGUCCAAGCUGGAGGGCUACGAAGCCGCCCAAGCCUCUGUCGCGACCGAGAAAAAUACAUUUUCCCAAAUGCUAGUGUAUUAAUCCCCGUCCCAGGAAAAGCCGAGGUACACCACACAAACAUGAUACAAAAGGCACAUCUUUAUUAUAUCGAUAAUAUUUACAUUAUUACAAAGGCACUUAAGGCCUGACAAUCAAAAAUAAACAGCAGCGGACUAGCGGGCCUACGGCUCCAUCUUCACAGGUGCUCAACUGGGGUAUAAUCCAGGACUCCACCUAAGACUUCUUCUCCAAAGCUUCUCUUACUGAAGGGGGGGAAAGAUUGAGCAAGAAUGAGUACAACCACAGUACUCAGCAAGCCACACCGGCGGAUGCAUGAUUAAUACAAGGGGGUACAAGGGGUAAUAAUAUAGGGGUUAAGUUUUGCAGAAAACAGCAUUUAAAAGUCACUUAGUUGCCCAAAGCCAUUUUAUAAAGACGAUCCUAGAGUUACACAGUGUUAUUAAUCAAGGCCGUGAACCCUCACGAACCUGCCUUAACCCAAGGCCUACGAUGAUUCAGACCGAACUGGCAACCCGACCCUGGGUCCCAGCUCGUCCCAAGCCAACCCAGGCCAACCAUUCCACAUUUUAGUUGUUAAGCAGGUUUUAAGAAUUAAAACACUAACUUGGGUACAUUGCUAGGCUUGCCCAUAACCGAGGGCGCGGCUAUUCGAAUAGGUUUUACUCUGAUCAGAGGUGUACAUCUUUACCCACAAGACACAUCUUCCUCACGUGUAACCACGUGCCACAUACCACCACGGUAUACGGACGGAAGACGUGACAUAGUUCCCAACCCAUCCUAGCCAUAAACAAGAGUACCGACCCAACCCCACCUACGGCCGGAACCCCCGGGACAGGCAGGCAGGAUUGAACCCCUAGCAGCAGGACACCAGCCCUGUGCCAUGACAUCUCGACUACCGAGCCGCAGCUCGUGUAGCCUUCAUUUGUCCUAGAGAUGUCCAUCGACCCCCGACUUCGUCCAUCUCCAUCCGUGUACUUUUGUUUAUAACCAGACUGAGCCACAAACUAAGCCUUACCCACUAGACAUGUGGAAGUACGGUAGUGCUUUGCAACAGAGGCCUGAGCUUAAUCCUUAUAGUACCCGAGGUACGACUAACAAAACCCAACCACGCACCUCGAGCCCAGCCUAAAACCAUUUUGGGGGUUUUGAAUAGAGGGGGAGGUGUGUGUCCAAUUCCAUCAUAAGCCAACCAUUCCAUAGUGUCCAAAUGAUAUGAGAAUUCCCAAAGUCUAAAGUUAUAAAACCACCUAAUGUUGCCUAAUUAAUCAGCGAAGCAUCUACCUAAAUUCAUACUAGUGGAACCAUGAAUAGAGUACCCACUAGUUGGGGUUUUGUUUAUCCUAGGGUGAACAAGGUAAUAAUAACAAUAGCAAUAAUAAUAAGGUCAUAACAAAGAUAAAUAGGCAUGACUAAAUAAAACAAUGAUAACGCGGGAAUUUAAAUAAAGCGAUAAUGCAUUAAUUUAAAUCAAAAUAAUUUUAUAAACUGGGAUUCAAUAUGUUCAAGGAUGAUGUGACUUGCCUUGCUCAGAGAGAACGGCCUUCCGAACCUUCGGCGACGACCACAAAGCACGCUUCGGGAACCUCCGGAACGACAGAAGCUACGCGAAGCACACAAGCAAAGCUACAAGCCUAUAAAGAAGCAAUAACAAUAUAUAAAAAGAAAGCACACGGUUCUUUAGGUUAUAACAAACAUUAAGAGACUUGAACGGGUCGAUUCGGAGCUCGUAUGACCAAGAUAUGAUCAUCCGAAGUUUAAUGCUGUUAUAUGGAGAUUUGCGGAUUAUUAUAAUUAAGCUUUGCAACUAUAAAACAUAUGGAAGCGCUAGCCUGGAAAAGACAGGAAGGCUGCGCUGUUGACAUGCGGACCCCACAUGUCAACCUAAAGGACCGCGGUAGACCGAGUACACAGAGACGGUCCACGGGUCGACGGAAGCGGACCCCGUGUGUCAACCGAGGCGAGUGGCCGACAAACGGACUCCACUAGACACCACACGGGCUGCACACAUGGAAACCACGCGGCUACUGAGCGGACACACUAACACGGACACUACACGGUCACCACCCGCACACGUGAACGACUACCGACACCGGUACACAGGUACCGGGGUCGACAACCGCACAACGGGUACGGGGCGACACCGAAAGGACGAGGACGGGGCAGCGAGAGGAGAGAUCCUUACCACCACGCGACAAGGCGUGGGAAAGACAACGACGAACGGGUGCGGCGGAGACGGACGGCGAGGGAACGACUUCGGCGGCGAUCCUUGAACGAAGGCGAGACACGGCCGGCACGAGGCUUGACGACGCGGAGGCGAGGACGAAGACGAUGAUGGGGCUGCGGCACUUGACGAAGCGAGGACGACGAACGAGAACGGCUGGACGGAGGGACGAACGCCACGACGACCAGGAACGACGAGAGGGCGACGACGACGACGACCGGGGCCGGCGAGAAAGCGACGAGGGCAGCCGGCAGCGGCUGCACGGAGACGAGGACGGCGCGGAACACGCCGCUGCGAUGCCGACGACGGAGGCGGCGCCCGCGAGACGACGAGCCGGCGAGGAGGAACGAUGACGACGACGACGAACACCGGCGGGGUUCGGUCGAAGGGGAGACGAGGCCGAGGGUGACCUUGCCGCUGCGAUGCCGGAGGUGGUGGUGGCGCAGCGACCCGAUGAGCCGGGCAGGAGGGAGGGGCGGCCGAAGGGACGCCGGCGACGAAGAGGAUGGAGAGGCCGGCGCGGGCGACGGCGGUCUCCGAACGAAUCAGAGGGUAGGCCGGGGUGGAGGUCGACGCGGCGACGCCGAGGGAGGAGACGGCGCGGCCGGCCCGCACUUGAGCGGUGCGGCAGGGGCGGCUGGAGGCAGUGGGUGGCGGCAAUGCCACCCGUUGCCGGUGGGGACGCGCCUCCGGCGGUCACCGCGCGAAACGGAGGGCAGGCCGGGGAGAGGAGGCGGCUGCGACGCCGGGGAAGGCGGCGGCACGGCCGGCCGGCGCACGGGUGAGGAGGGAGAGGCGGCUGGAGGCGGUUGACGUGGGGGAAAGAGAAGGGCGACGACGGGGAGGGGUGAUACGACCACGGGGAGGCUCGGGAUGAGGCUAAAACGAGAGAACGGAGCGAGGGGGUUCCGUUUUAUAGGCGUGGGGAGGGAGCUGGCCACGGGAGGAGCGGGGAACGGUGGCAGAAAAGGCGCCCGGCGGCCAUGGAAGGCGGCCAUGAAUGGCGCAGCCGUUCCGGUCAAAAUAGUGCACGAUUAAAGGGGAGAUUAGGGGGAAAAGGGAGAGGAAGGAAAGGGGAUUAAUUCCCCCCAAUUAAUUUUGGAAUCCAAUGCUUAAAUCGUGCGGUUUCGAGGGAGGAACGAACUAGGGUUUUCACGGGAGAGAGAGGAGGCCGUGCGGGAGGAGGAAGACGACCGGCGCGUGGGCCCCACGCGGUCAGCGCGCGCAGUCAGCGCACGCGCGGCGCGCGUGCACGCGGCUGGCUUGGCUCGGCCUGGCUUGGGCCGGGCUGCUGGGCCGAGGCAGGCCGAGAGGAAGGAGGAGGAGGGAGUGAGCUGCCCGGGAGGAAAGAGAGAAAAACAAAGAGAGGGGAGAGGGAUUUGGACUGUGGGCCGAGGGGGAGAGAGGGAGACUUUGGGCCAGACUUGGCCCAAAGGGAGGAGGGGGAUUAUUUUUAGCUUUUUCUUUUUAAUAAACUUUGUUAAUUGUUGUUGUUUAAUAAAUAUUUUCGGUGCUCUGAAAAUUCAAGUAAAAUUUGAGGGCUCCUUUUAGACCAAGGAGAAUUUAACAAAAAUUCUCCGGACCACAUUCGAAUUUUUCUAGCAGGUAUUUUAGUGUUUGUCAAUUUCUUUUUGAAUUUUAAUUAAUUCUAUUAUUCCUUUUAGAAAAUAAUUUUUAUUUCGGGAUGAAUUUAUCAGGGCGUGACAGCCUCUGCACACCUUUCGCCACACGCCACGCCCUUCCCCAUAGUACCAAUAAGGCACGGCAUCAAGGGCUGCGGGCGAACAGGUUUCGCCAACCCACGCCCUUCGCCAUAGUGCCAAUAUGGCACGGCGUCAAGGGCUGCGGGCGAAGAGGUUUCGCCACACGCCAUACCCUUCGCCAUAGUACCAAUGAGGUACGGCCUCAAGGGUUGCGGGCGAGGAGGUUUCGCCCACCCACGCCCUUCACCAUCAAACCAAUGAGGUACAGCGUCAAGGGUUGCGGGUAAAGAGGUUUCGUCCACCCACGCCCUUCGCCAUAGCGCCAAUAAGGCACGGCGUCAAGGGCUGCGGGCGAACGGGUAUCGCCAACCCAUGCCCUGCGCCAUAGUACCAAUAAGGUAUGGCGCAUGGCCUUGCAGGCGAAGAGGUUACGUCCACCCACGCCCUUCGACAUAGUGCCAAUAAGGCACGGCGUCAAGGGCUGCGGACGAACAGGUUUCGCCAACCCACGCCCUUCGCCAUAGUGCCAAUAUGGCACGGCGUCAGGGGCAGCGGGCGAAGAGGUUUCGCCACAUGCCAUACCCUUCGCCAUAGUGCCAAUAUGGCACGGCGUCAAGGGCUGCGAGCGAAGAGGUUUCGCCACACGCCAUACCCUUCGCCAUAGUACCAAUGAGGUACGGCAUCAAGGGUUGCGGGCGAACAGGUUUCACCCACCCACGCCCUUCGCCAUCGAACCAAUGAGGUACGGCGUCAAGGGUUGCGGGCGAAGAGGUUUCGUCCACCCACGCCCUUCGCCAUAGCGCCAAUAAGGCACGGCGUCAAGGGCUGCGGGCGAACAAGUUUCACCAACCCACGCCCUGCGCCAUAGUACCAAUAAGGUACGGCGUCAUGGGCUUGCGAGCGAAGAGGUUUCGUCCACCCACGCCCUUCGCCAUAGUGCCAAUAAGGCACGGCGUCAAGGGCUGCGGGCGAAUAGGUUUCGCUAACCCACGCCCUUCGCCAUAGUGCCAAUGUGGCACGGCGUCAAGGGCUACGGGCGAAGAUGUUUCGCCACAUGCCAUACCCUUCGCCAUAGUACCAAUGAGGUACGGCGUCAAGGGUUGCAGGCGAAGAGGUUUCGUCUACCCACGCCCUUUGCCUUAGUGCCAAUAAGGCAUGGCGUCAAGGGCUGCGGGUGAACAGGUUUCGCCAACCCACGCCCUUCGCCACAGUGCCAAUAUGGCACGGCGUCAAGGGCUGCGGGCGAAGAGGUUUCACCACACGCCAUGCCCUUCGCCAUAGUGCCAAUGAGGUACGGCGUCAAGGGUUGCGGGCGAACAGGUUUCGCCCACCCACGCCCUUUGCCAUAGUACC
rnacentral:lncRNA from 1 species